UACGGAGGGUGCGAGCGUUAAUCGGAAUUACUGGGCGUAAAGCGUACGCAGGCGGUUUGUUAAGCGAGAUGUGAAAGCCCCGAGCUCAACCUGGGAACUGCAUUUCGAACUGGCAAACUAGAGUGUGAUAGAGGGUGGUAGAAUUUCAGGUGUAGCGGUGAAAUGCGUAGAGAUCUGAAGGAAUACCGAUGGCGAAGGCAGCCACCUGGGUCAACACUGCCGCUCAUGUACGAAAGCGUGGGGAGCAAACAGG
rnacentral:rRNA from 1 species